AUGACCUCGGACUACUACCCACCCCUCGGAGGGUACAGAAGGCUGAGGAGCAGCCCUGGGAGAAAGAAAACGGAAGUGCCACCCCCUGCAGGCAGGGUGGUGACGUCACCCCUACCGCCAGCCUGUAGCGGGGGUGGCUGCCCAUCACGUGAUCCACGCCCCUCCGAAUCCCGCGCGCGCGCUCCCCCCCCCACCAGUCAGACUCCCACCUCUCCCGCCUCCACUCCCCAACUUUCACCCUCCAUGCUCCCGCACCGCUGUCAACAGUGCCAGCUCCGCCCUCUCCCUUGCCUCGGCGCCCCCACCACGGCGACGCAGCGGGCUUCUGGGCUCAGGUCCCCGCUCCCGGACUGCUGGGUGCCCCCUCUCCCACCCUGCCCCCCAAACUCGGGGCGCGCAGGGCGCGGUGGCGGCGACAGCGCUUUUCCAGUCUUUCCUCACACCAAGGACCAGGCGGACUCUGCAGGAGUGGUCUACCUUUAUUUGGGCAGUUAGAUAAGAAGGAAUCAGAGAGCACUGAGCCAUAACACAAAUGCUUGACCUUUAUCAUGAACAUUGAAUUUAUGCCCCUAAUAACUUAAGGACCUCUCACUGGGCUCCACCUGCUAAUGGAAACCCUGGGAUCAAGUAUUUAACACAAGAGCAUUUGAAGGACAUUCAACAACUAAACUACAGCAGGUGACACAGCUUUUGGGACCAAGACACAGAGAACUGGAGAGGAAAGAAGUGGGAAGAGGGGCUGGGUGUCUACUUCUCCCUCACCUAGCAGUGUUGGCUGCAAAGGAGAGUAAGAACAGAAUAUAGAAAAAUCUGAGUUCAAGGGUGAACAGGUAUGUGUAUUUAUUUCUCUGGAGUCCUCAGAGGAGGCUGCAUCGUACAGCAUCUGUAGGGGGUAAGAGAGGAAGCUGCCAGCAACAGCCGACUUAUUGGGGAUGAGACAAAGAGGUCAAAGGAAGCCCAUGUGGUUGUCUGUUGUUCUGCAAACAGCUGAUAUCUCUUGUGUCUCCUGAACAGUGUGGAAGCUGGCUGAAGGAGGAGACUAAAUAGCACCAGUAGCAGGACACCUAAUGGACCUGAAGAGGUCUUCGGCUUCUAUUCAGGACUCUUACAGCAAAAUACGGCACAGGUCUCAGAGGCAAGACAAGGGAAGUACACAGACACCUCAGCAGUGCUGCCUGGAAAGACGUCACAAAUGGACAUCAGCUGGGAUUGCUGGGAUUGGAUUGAGGACAACCCCACCCCCUUAACAAUGCUUCUCCUGACUCACCCCCAGCAUUCAAAGACAUUUAAUAACCAGCUGUCUCUGUCAGACCAACAGAGACAAGGAAAAGGACAGGAAGAGGAAAUGAAACUUGUUAAAUUAAAGGAGCAAUGAUGGAGAAAAAACAAAGUGCAGCUAUCUCGAUUUGUUCUCACCCAGCAUUCACCUUGGGAAGGUGGAGAGUGAUAUGCAUCUCAAGGUUGAAUUGAGAUCUUCAUCUGGGGCAGCCACAGG
rnacentral:lncRNA from 1 species